rnacentral:rRNA from 1 species
UACGUAGGGUGCAAGCGUUGUCCGGAAUUAUUGGGCGUAAAGAGCUCGUAGGCGGUCUGUCGCGUCGGCUGUGAAAACCCGGAGCUCAACUCCGGGCCUGCAGUCGAUACGGGCAAACUAGAGUGUUGCAGGGGAGACUGGAAUUCCUGGUGUAGCGGUGAAAUGCGCAGAUAUCAGGAGGAACACCGAUGGCGAAGGCAGGUCUCUGGGCAUUAACUGACGCUGAGGAGCGAAAGCAUGGGGAGCGAACAGG